rnacentral:rRNA from 1 species
UGGCUGCAGUCAAGAAUAUUCCCCAAUGGCCGCAAGGCUGAGGGAGCGACGUCGCGUGCAUGAAGAAACCCUUCGGGGUGUAAAGUGCUUUUAACUGGGACGAAUCAAUGACGGUACCAGUUGAAUAAGGGGCUGCUAAACUCGUGCCAGCAGCAGCGGUAAUACGAGUGCCCCAAGCGUUAUCCGGAUUUAUUGGGCGUAAAGAGUUCGUAGGUGGUUUAUCGCAUCUCCUGUUAAAUCUCGAGGCUCAACCUCGAGGCUGCGGGAGAGAUGGCUAAACUAGAGACCGGGAGAGGUAAGUGGAAUUGCUGGUGUAGGGGUUAAAUCCGUUAAUAUCAGCAAGAACACCUAAUGUGAAGACAGCUUACUAGAACGGUUCUGACACUAAGGAACGAAAGCGUGGGGAGCGAAUGGGAUUAGAUACCCUUGUAGUC